GCUGGGUGUGGUGGCUCAUGCCUGUAAUCUCAGCUACUUGGGAGGCUGAGGCAGGAGGACUGCUUGAACCCAGGAGUUUGAGGCUGCAAUGAGGUAUGAUCAUGCCGCUGCACUCCAGCCUGGGUGAUACAGCAAUACCCUGUCUCCA
ensembl:misc_RNA Metazoa_SRP Metazoan signal recognition particle RNA